rnacentral:rRNA from 1 species
UACAGAGGGUGCUAGCGUUGUUCGGAAUUAUUGGGCGUAAAGAGCUCGUAGGCGGCCUGUUGCGUCCGCUGUGAAAGCCCGGGGCUUAACCCCGGGUCAGCAGUGGAUACGGGCAGGCUAGAGGUAGGUAGGGGAGAAUGGAAUUCCCGGUGUAGCGGUGAAAUGCGCAGAUAUCGGGAGGAACACCAAUGGCGAAGGCAGCUCGCUGGAACGGUACUGACGCUGAGACGCGAAAGCGUGGGGAGCAAACAGG